ACGAACGCUGGCGGCGUGCUUAACACCUGCAAGUCGAACGGUGAAGCGCCUUCCUUUUUGGUGGGUGUGGAUGAGUGGCGAACGGGUGAGUAACACGUGAGUAACCUGCCCCCUUCUUCUGGAUAACCGCAUGAAAGUGUGGCUAAUACGGGAUAUUCUGGGUCUGUCGCAUGAUGGGUCUGGGAAAGAUAUUGUUUCGGUGGGGGAUGGGCUCGCGGCCUAUCAGCUUGUUGGUGGGGUGAUGGCCUACCAAGGCGGUGACGGGUAGCCGGCCUGGGGGGGUGGACGGUCACACUGGGACGGCGACACGGCCCAGACUCCUACGGGAGGCAGCAGUGGGGAAUAUUGCACAAUGGGCGCAAGCCUGAUGCAGCGACGCCGCGUGAGGGAUGGAGGCCUUCGGGUUGUGAACCUCUUUCGCCAGUGAAGCAGGCCUGCCUCGUUUGUGGGUGGGUUGACGGUAGCUGGAUAAGAAGCGCCGGCUAACUACGUG
rnacentral:rRNA from 1 species